CGCGUAGGCGGAGGACCAAGUCCGGGGGUGAAAUCUUUCGGCUCAACCGGAAAACUGCCUUGGAUACUGGUCUUCUUGAGGGAGGUAGGGGCAGGUGGAACUUCCGGUGGAGCGGUGAAAUGCGUUGAUAUCGGAAGGAACGCCGGUGGCGAAAGCGGCCUGCUGGAUCUCUUCUGACGCUGAGGCGCGAAAGCUAGGGUAAGCGAACG
rnacentral:rRNA from 1 species